UGGGGAAAGACGCGUGAGAACUGCGGCGUUGGUGGUGGAUCUGCGUGGCGUCUCCGUGGCGGGUCUGUGGGUUACCAUCUUAGCUGUGCUCCUGUGUGCGGAGCGCCGUCGCAGCCACCAGGCAGAGGACUUAAAACCAGUCUGAGUCUACGUUCAAAAUUAGGAGUUUUCACCUGAACAUCCAGAUACCAGACUUCUUCAGUCAGACGGGCUGGCAGCAGGGGGCCCAUGUCCCGUUACUCCCCACGUCCCUGACACUGGCUUCCAGCAGCAGCUGCCAUUGUCCCAGCACUGCUGUGUCUCUUCUGGGGGGGAGAGAAUCUCCACGCUCGUGUCACUUUCCUACGUGGCAGUACAAAAGACCCCGAGAUGGACACGUGUUUUAAGAAAAAUGGGGGAGAGCAAGUGUCUUUGUGGAUAGCACGAAUGUUCCAGCAUGUUGGAUGUGCCAGCUGUCUGUGUUGAAAGGCCAGUCUUGCCUCCCUCCCUGGCCUUGGUCUGGAGUGGGUGGUGGUCUGAGGACUGAGGAGAAUCAUGGGUCAUUCCAAGGACUGGCAGUGUUUAGGGGUCUGGACUGAAAUAUGUCUCCCCAAAACAUAUGUUGAAGCCCUAACCCUCAAUGUAACUGUAUUUGGAGAAAGGAUCUAUAGGAGGUAAUUAGGUUAAAUGAGGUGAUAAGGUGGGGCCCUAACCUCGUUGAACUGUGGCCUUUCUAAGAAGAGGAGCCUUAUUAAGGGGGAUCACUCUGCCAUGGGAGGAUAUAGGGAGAAGGUAGCAGUCUGCAAGCUGGAAGAGAGCUCUCAUCAGGGACUGAAUCCACUGACACCUUGAUCUUGGACUUCCAGCCUUCAGAACUGUGAGAAAUCAAUGUGUGUAGUCUAAGGCUCCCAGUCUCUAUGGUAUGCUGUUAUGGCAGCCUGAGCAGAACAAGACACCUGUCUUCCUUCCCAAGAGGACCGUGGGAAUCUUCACCCCAUUCUGAGUGAUGCCUGGGCUAACCACAAACAGGAGAGUUUAGCAGAUGUCAUCCCCAUGAAUAAAGAUUUCCAAGCAUG